AUUGAACGCUGGCGGCAUGCCUUACACAUGCAAGUCGAACGGUAACGCGGGGCAACCUGGCGACGAGUGGCGAACGGGUGAGUAAUGUAUCGGAACGUGCUCAGUUGUGGGGGAUAACUGCUCGAAAGAGCAGCUAAUACCGCAUACGACCUGAGGGUGAAAGCGGGGGAUCGCAAGACCUCGCGCAAUUGGAGCGGCCGAUAUCAGAUUAGGUAGUUGGUGGGGUAAAGGCCCACCAAGCCAACGAUCUGUAGCUGGUCUGAGAGGGCGACCAGCCACACUGGGACUGAGACACGGCCCAGACUCCUACGGGAGGCAGCAGUGGGGAAUUUUGGACAAUGGACGCAAGUCUGAUCCAGCCAUGCCGCAUGCGGGAAGAAGGCCUUCGGGUUGUAAACCGCUUUUGUCAGGGAAGAAACGCUCUGGGUUAAUACCUCGGGGUAAUGACGGUACCUGAAGAAUAAGCACCGGCUAACUACGUGCCAGCAGCCGCCGUAAUAC
rnacentral:rRNA from 1 species